CUGGCCUCAAACUCAAGAGAGAUCUGCCUGCCACAGCCUCUCAAGUGCUGGGAUUAAUGGUGUCUAGGAUUAAUGCCACCACUACCUGGCAUGUUUUAUUUUUUUCCUUUUCUUUUUAAGAGGAAAUCAUUCAGUUGAGAAAAGGCAUAUAGUAGGUCAUCUUGGUUCACAGACAGCUUCUCUCCUGAGGAGACUCUGAAACCAACAUAACUACCAAAUGAAACGGGGUGAGCCAGAGAUGAAUUAAUGGUAAUAGGCAACCUUUCCUAACAUCCUUUUUCUUCAGUUGCUAAUAGCCAGUUUCUACUUUUCAAUUCCCAGCUGCGCAGCUCUAGUCUGUGAGAAAGCUACAUAUUGGGUAAAUGAGCUAUAACAUGGACUGGAGUGUGUUUUAGUACAGUCCUGGUGAGAUAACACACGCCAAAGGGCCAGGGUACAUCUUCCUGCUAAUACUGCUACACUAAGCACAUGCUGCCUGCAGCCAGAGAGGCUCGUUCCAAGUCUGCAUCCCAGAUCACAGCUGUACCGCCCGCUCUAAGGGUUCCGGAUCAAGUUGUAGAAUGCUGCCUUUCCAGACAGUGCCACCCAUUUAGAGAUGCUUCAGUACACUGAUGCAACCUUACUGUGUGUCUUUCACAAUGCUACGACCAAGACUUAUUGUUUAUAAAGUGGUGAUGCUGGCUUGGUGCCUACUUUUCCACCCACUGCAAAUGAAUUAUAACCAAGUGAGCUGUUUUUGUUCUUGUCGUCUUGCUCCACUACUUAGACUUCCUAAUAAAAGCUUCUUACUCCGCUGUCCUUCAAGUGAUUAUCUUCUCACUCAAUUACUCUGGAAUGAGGUUCCUGAGAACCUCUCUCUGCUUUGUAGAACUCCUGUCUUCAAACCUUCUUCCUGUUCCCACUCUGGUCUAUCAGUGAGAGGAGAUGAGGUAAGGCACGGGCCAGGAAAGCAACUCAGCACCCAGUGGAGUGUGAGAGAACAGAUCUGAUGGGCAGUGUACUCAAAAUUCCGAGAAGGUAUGCAACUCACCACAGUACUGGAUGCCUGCAAUAAAUUCAAAAGAACUCACAGGAAAAGAAAACCUUUGUCAAAAGAUAUUUUACUGUUUUUGGAGCGUUGAAAGACUUGUCUAAGAAAGAUGGCUUUUAAAAUCAAUCAUGUAUUGGACAAGUUGGAAAGAGAAGAUCACCAAAAUGUCCUUUUAAACUUUAAGAAUGCAAGCUGUCUUCAAAUUCUUCCCUGUAGAUUUUUAGAGACAUUUUGGAGAAACUAGAUUGACCACUACAUGUUUCUAAAUCAACAUAUAUUUUCCAUUUGUAAUAGUUAAAAGGACAUUAUUUCUACAUACUUAACAUCAAUGUAAACACAGUACUUUGGUAGCUAACAUUUUUUAAUAAAAAUGAAAAGUUCUUAGAGACUUUA